rnacentral:lncRNA from 1 species
GAAAAGCUCGAAAUACAUUCAAACACUCGAACCUCGCAAUUUGCAAAGGUCCAGUGUGUUACAUAUAUCUACAUGUUCACAAGUAAUAUCAUGAUUUACUUUAUACAAAUAUGAAAGUGGUACUUUGUCAUGACUACAAUGCAUAUAAGGAUGUAAUAAACAACAUCUCCUAGCAUACUACAUGUAUGUAUGAAUACCCAAAUGUCCACAACUAUGCUAGAGGUAAGUCCAUGUAAUCCUACUACCACUCUCUGUCUAGUAGUGAUCAUAAUAAACUCAACACCGUGUCGAUUUUCAUUUCCAAUUAAGGACCUACCAAAGGAAGUCCAGCUUGUGCCGCCUAAGUGCCUGUGGUAGCCCGACAUCCCUACUCUUGGAAUGUGUCUGUCCCACUCGACCCCGUAGGCUUCUCAAUACCGCANNNNNNNNNNNNNNNNNNNNNNNNNGAUGCUAACCAAAUCUCUAGUCAUGAUGUCACCAAGUUUACUAUUGUCUUGGUCCUUUACAGUUUCAUACAUUCAUAGGGUUCUAUGUCCACAUUCUAAUGUUCAUGUGUAAGAUCUGGUCCUCUUUUAGAGGAUUCAAUAACUGACAAUACUACAAUUUAACUUCUAACUAGCUCUUUAUGCUAGUUUCACAAUUUCACUGUUUAUCUCACAAUGCUAUCCAAUUCUCAAGUAGAAUGUCACCAAGUUCACUAUUGUCAAAGUCCAUGCAUUCAUAGGGUUCUAUGUCCACAAUCUAGGUUCACAAAUUCUUAUUGUUGAUAGGAAUUCACAUUUUCACUCGCUCAAUGCCAAACACCCUAUAAUGCAUGACUACAAAUAUAAAUAUGCUCAACGGAGAAUUAUAGACAUAAAAGGUGAUUCAAAGAGUUCGGAUAGCACCACCCACCUGUAGUGGUGUCAAUCAACUAGAAUCCACGUCUCAGAAAGCGUCGACGACUAUCUCUCGCGACUCCGUGCAAAUAGGACUAAAGCGGUCUCUAUCGUAAUUAGCGUGUCGUCGACCUGUCGGAAAGUCAAUUUAGACUCUUGGGCAUGUUUCCAUUUCACUUAUAAAGGAUUAGAAAAGAUUAAACUAGAGUCAUUACACAUAAUUGACAAGUUAGCAUUUCAAUGCUAUAUAAAGCGGCAAUUAUAGCAAAAAACCUUCUUUUGGCGAUAUCUUUGCGUAGGUUCGUUGGAUUGCCGAACCGACUUCGCCAACGCGUUUCUUUUACCCUCAAUUUGGUUUACACGCGGUCAAUUUCGCAUUAGGACUCUUAUUUUGCAAAAGUGCAUUGUCGGGGUCAAUUUUCAAUACAAACCCAUUUCAAUGCAAUUUCACUUUCAAUGCAAUUGCAAUUUCACAAUUACAUCGAGUUCUUUCAACUCGUUCUUUCUCGUUUUCUUUCUCUCAUUUUUCCUCUCUUCUAUUUCUUUUUUCUUUCUUCCAUUCUUUUCCUCAUUCUUUCCUUUCUCUUUUCUUACUUUCUUUCUUUCUUUCUUUCUUUCAUUCUUUCUUUCCUUUCUUUCCUGCAGGUUUUUCUUGUCUUUCUUUAUUGCUUUCUUUCCUUCUUUUCUUCCUUUGCAGGACAGCUUCUACUGCUGUUACUGCUGCUGCUACUGAAGCUUCUGCUGCUGCUAAUAGCAGCUGCGCAAGCUGCUGCUGCUGACUGCUUGCCCUGCUGCUGCUGCUGCCUGCUUGCCCUGCUGCUGCUGACUGCUCAGCAGCAGGCUGAGCUGCUGUUGCUACUCAGCUCAGCAGGGCUGAGCUGCUGAUGCUGCUGCUGCUAUUAUUGCAGCUGCUGCUGAUGCUAACUGCUGGUGCCACUGCUGCUGCUGCUAGCUGCAGCUGCUGCUGCUGUUUGCUGCUGCUGCUGCUGAGCAAGCUGCUACUGCAGCUUGCUGCUGCUGCUAAUCCUGCUGCUGAUCCAGCAGCUGCUGCUGCUGGCUGCUCCAGCAGCAGCUGCUGAUGCUACUGCUGCUGCUGCUGUUCCUGCUCAACAGCUAGCUGAGCUGCUGCUGCUGUUGAUAGGGAAGAAGAGUGAGGGGGAAAAAGAUAGCAAGGAGAGAGGGAGAGAGAUUAAAUUUCUUACCUUUUUCUUCUUCCUUUUCUUCUCCUGCUACUCUUUUCUCUUCUUUUCUUCUUCUCUCUCUUUUCUCCUUCUCUCUCUCUCUACGUAUGGAACCAGGGUGAAGCAGAGGGGAUAAGAAUGAAGGCCUCCCUGCUGCCAGAUUAGUGGAAAUCCACUAACUUAGUGAUAAAUGACCAUAAUGCCCCUCGACUUAAGUUCGUUUAGUCGCACGGAUUAGAUACCUUUUGCAGGCUCUUCCGACAGUCCGAUUGAGCUCAAAUUUGGCAGGAAUGUUCGUUUUUACUUGACAAGUCCACUGAAAUUUUAACAUUUCAGUUUCGACCCCGUUUGGUCACUGCGAACUGUCCUGAACUGUAAUCUUUAUCAGAUAACUUCCAGAUGCUAUUUCUCUCUCUACAGGUGUCAGAAAAAUCUGAAACUUCAAAACUAGCCUUAUAAUAAUGUUCCUGACAUCUCUGCCAAUUUUUGUAAUUUUCUGACACUGUGCAUUUUCUGCUAAUUUUCUCAGUCCCGUUUCUUACAGAAAAUUCUAAAAUUUCCGUUUUCGCUCCGAUUUCACCCAAACACUUCUAAAAUACACCAAGGGACCUUCCCAAGCUACCAAUUUAAUUUGGAAGCAAUUUCUUUUCAUUUUGACAUUAUUUGAGCCGAAUUAGAAAUAGAAUCGGCUCUAAUUCCAUUACAUGACCUUUUUGCACUACCACUUCGCACUGAGCUCUUCAAAACCCUGUGAAAACACACCCUUGGCUUUACCAAAACUUCACAAUUGAUUCGGAGGUACCACAAUUUAUCCUUACACCUUACUUUAAUUCUUUUAAUCAAAGUUAGCGUCGGAAUUUCGAAAAUUCUCUUUACUCUCUUUACAUUUCGUUUCGCGCCCAAUUUGCGCCGAAACACUUAUUUCUCUUUGGAACUCAUUCCAACGCAUCACAAAUCCCUCGGGGAUGAUGUCCAACUAGCUCAAUCCUCACUUUGACCCUCUAGGUCAAAGUUGACAUUGCAGCUUCAGGAUGCCAUAUAUUACACACAAGCAUGUGCGAAUGAGCACAAAUGGCAAGCAAGCAUAGUCAACGUCUCAAAUACCCAAUCAUCAUGUCUCUAACAUGGCAAUAUUCACUAGCAUCUCGAAGAUCUAGUUCUAGGUCACAAUGUGAAAUUUUAAUAUUCACUAAGUCUAGUGCCCCUUUAUGACACUUAGACACUUCGAUGAACAAGCACACUCCAACUCUCUCAAUGGCACUAUCCACUAAAUUCACACAUAACCCNAACUCAUAAUGUCCAUACCGUGUUCUAAAAGCCGUCUUCGAUACAUCCUCAGGUCUGAUCCUCAACUGGUGAUAUCCCGACUGCAAGUCAAUCUUGGAAUAUACACAAGAUCCCUGGAGUUGAUCAAAUAGAUCAUCAAUCCUCGGCAAUGGAUACUUGUUCUUGAUCGUGACUUUGUUAAGUUCACGAUAAUCCACACACAAGCGAAGUGAUCCAUCCUUUUUCUUCACAAAUAGGACCGGUGCUCCCCAAGGUGACACACUCGGUCUCACGAAACCUUUAUCCAGAAGAUCCUGCAACUGUGCCUUCAAUUCCCUCAACUCUGCUUGUGCCAUCCUAUAGGGUGCCUUUGAGAUCGGAGUAGUCCCGGGAACGAGAUCUACCACAAACUCAAUCUCCCUAUCAGGUGGCAUGCCUGGAAGCUCCGCUGGGAACACGUCUCCAAACUCUCGCACUACGGGGAUAUCCUCAAUCCUAGGGGUGUCCGCAUCGCCACGCAACACGACAGUAGCCAAAUAAGCUACGCAGCCUCUACUAAUCAAUUGCCUAGCUCGAGAGAAGUUAAUCGUCAUCGCAAACAGCGAACUCUGGCAUCCUCGGUACACAACCUCCGCCUGCCCCGGCUCUCUAAACGUCACCGUUCGAUCCUUGCAAUCGAUAGUGGCGUAGUACUUAGUUAACCAGUCCAUGCCCAAUACUACAUCAAACUUCCCGAGUUUAUGCAACACUAACAAGUCUACGGGCAUGAUCCAAUCUCCAACCCGAAUAGGGCAACUGGGGCAAAACUCCCGAAUGUCCAAAGAAUGAUCGGGUACAACAACUCGGCCCGGAUGUAGCAAAGAUACAUGUGGGAUGUCAUGCAGCUCGGCAAACAGCCGAUCAAUGAAUGAAUGCGAUGCACCGGUAUCAAACAAAGCUCUAGCUCGAGUACCAUAAAGUAAAAUGAUACCUGCGACCACAUUCUCGGCUGCUGCAGCCUCCUCAGUCUGGGCCGCGUACAUGCGCCCGCUCGGGGCCUGUCGUGACCCCUCCGCCUGUCGCAGAACUGGCGGCCGUCCUGCCUGGUGAUGCGCAGAAGAUGUCCCCUGGCUGGGACCUGGCGAAGCUGGUGCAGAUGCCGAAGAUGGCGCUGGCAAUGGACUCCUCGGGCAGUCCGACUGGAAGUGGCCCUCCUGGCCAUACAAGAAGCACCUGCCCCGGCUGCGCGAACACUGUCGCGGGUAAUGAGGACCGCCACAGAUCACGCAGCGGGGGGCCUGACGACGAUCGGGUCCUCCUCGCUGAGUGGACUGGCCACGUCCUCGCGACUGGCUCCGGCUCCUGGGGUGCCUCGGCGGCCUCCGUGAGUGCGUCUGACUCGCACCCUCAGCCGCGGGCCUCUUGCCCUUCCCUUUCUCCAAGCUCUCGCGACGCUCCUGCAGAUCCGCCGCUCCGGCCUCCACUAUCAAAGCUCGAUCUACAACCUCCCGGUAGGUCUGGAGGUUGGAAGACUGCACCAACCGGAAAAUAGAAGGCCGCAAACCGCGCUCAAAGAUGCGGGCCUUGUCCUCGUCAUCCCGCACCACAAAAGGCACACAAUGGAGUAAUCGAGAAAACUCCCUCUCGUACUCGGCCACAGACCGCUCAUCCUGGCGCAAGCUGCGCAAGUCCUGCUCCAUCUUCCUCUUGACGCUGGUCGGGAAGUAGUGCGCCAGAAGAAGCUCCUUGAAUCGCGUCCAUGUGACCGCUGUCAAGUCGGUGCUGGGAUUGUCCUGGAUAUCCAACCACCAAUGGUAGGCCUCGCCGUCCAGAAAGUGAGUGGUGAGCCAAACCCUGUCCCUCUCCUCAACGAAGGUAUCUCGAAAUAGCUUCUCUAUAUGCAUCAACCACUUCUCAACAAUCCAGUGGUCGACGUUCUCGCCAUUAAACAUCCUCGGGCUGCACCUCCUGAACUCACUGAGGCGCUCCAUGAGCCGAUCCCGCUCGGCUCCCUCGGCCAUCACGGGGAAUGCCGCCCCCCUCGCCGGUCUCUUAACUGGGGGUACCGCAGCCACCUCUUCCCGAGGUGUGGUCGCCGGUGCCGCACGGGAAGAACUAGGCGCGGGGGACUGCGCCCUCGGUGCGACGUCCACCACGGGUGCUGGCGGUGUGGGACCCUGGGUCUCCCUCGAAGCUGCCGCUUGCUGAAGUAGGAGGUCCUCCAGAUGUUUCAUCGGCGCCUCCUGCCACUGAGCCACCUCAGCCUGUCGCUGCGCUGCUGCCGUCUGCUGCGCCAACAGAUCAGUGAAAACCGCAAGCUGGGCCCUCAAGUCACGGACCUCACUAGAUCUGGAAGUAGCGGAGGUCUCAACCUCCUCGGGAUGUGCCGCAUCAUCCGCCCCGGCAGACUGGGAGCGUGCAAUCGGCAUCGUCACUACAAAACAUAAAAGCGCAAGUUAAUAACCCACGCUAUCGCUUCCCCGCUCGAAAUAAUGAAACCCAAAAUCAUGCGAAAGUAAGGAAGUGUCCUUCACUACUAACUCCCGAUGUUACGUUGUCGGCCGCCAACAUAACCCUCCGCGAAGUUAGAAGCCAUACACUCCGAUCAAACUCUAAGUUUUUAGAGUUGUCAUAAACCCAACCAUAAUACUUUCGCUCACAAGUCAAUUAGACCUCGUCUCUCACGAGCCUAAUUCCUAUAGUCCAACCGGCCUAAGGUUCGCUAGGUUCACUAAGACUCAACCCUAGGCUCUGAUACCAAAUUAAUCUGUCACGCCUCGGGACCGACGGAGGCCCUCCCGGUGGCGUGCCCAGACCCGCCAUAUGUCUAUACAUAUAAGGCGUCUACAACAAAGCGGGAGUAAAAGCGAGAAAUAGAACGAAUAGAAUAAUAACAACUAACGAUAUCAGAGCGAGUAAGGUUCUAUCAUCUAAACCAGAGUAAAAGAAAUAUAACUAAACAAAGUAAGUAAAGCAUAAGGUGAUACAAUACUAACACCUCAAAGAAAUACCAAGAUCCAAAAGAAAGGUGGUCUCUAUACAUAUACGGGUACAACUCACAACCUCUCACAACAUAAAAACAUCGAGAGGUAGACCACCUAGCGACUCGUCACUCGCUGAAGAGCUAGCUCGAAGACACGCCCUUUCCUCGAUCCUUAGCCUCUCCCGGCGUGGAAGGCUCUGAAAGAAAACAUAAAACAGAGGGCGUUAGAACUAUAAUUUAUAGUUCCCAGUGGGCAAUUACUGACCUCAGCUCAAUGCACCACUAGGCCCCAAAAGAAAGGGUAAGUCUAACAAUAAUAGUAAAGAGUAAAUUGCAUAUAAGAAAGCAUAAUUAAGAUGCUAAGCUACGGCUUGCAAUUAAACAUGGCAUUUAUAAUGCGACUUUAUCUUGUCAUGGAUGAUAUAUAUCUACAUGUUCACAAGUAAUAUCAUGAUUUACUUUAUACAAAUAUGAAAGUGGUACUUUGUCAUGACUACAAUGCAUAUAAGGAUGCAAUAAACAACAUUUCCUAGCAUACCACAUGUAUGUAUGAGUACCCAAAUGUCCACAACUAUGCUAGAGGUAAGUCCAUGUAAUCCUACUACCACUCUCUGUCUAGUAGUGAUCAUAAUAAACUCAACACCGUGUCGAUUUUCAUUUCCAAUUAAGGACCUACCAAAGGUAGUCCAGCUUGUGCCGCCUAAGUGCCUGUGGUAGCCCGACAUCCCUACUCUUGGAAUGUGUCUGUCCCACUCGACCCCGUAGGCUUCUCAAUACCGCACGAGCGAACAUAAGUCGCGUAGGCUAACUCCGAAGUGCCGGCUUGUAGGGAGCGACCCUCACAAGCAUGUGCGAAUGAGCACAAAUGGCAAGCAAGCAUAGUCAACGUCUCAAAUACCCAAUCAUCAUGUCUCUAACAUGGCAAUAUUCACUAGCAUCUCGAAGAUCUAGUUCUAGCUCACAAUGUGAAAUUCUAAUAUUCACUAAGUCUAGUGCCUCUUUAUGACACUUAGACAUUUCGAUGAACAAGCACACUCCAACUCUCUCAAUGGCACUAUCCACUAAAUUCACACAUAACCCGAGCUCGAUGCCCCUUUAUGAUAUUAGCUCAAUUGUACACAAGUAGUGCAAAUCCCCGAGCCCUUUUAUGGCUCACUAGGAACUUUUAAAUCUUGAAUAGAAAUAACUUUAAAUGCAUGCAUGAGAUGUUCGUUUUUACCAUAGAAAUUAUGAUUCCAAGUCUCAAUAGGAUGCUAAACCUGUUCAAGUUCCACAUGCUAGCUCUCUACUACAUAGAGGUCCGAAAUUUUCACCACAUGUAACGUAGGCAAAUUAAGCCUUCUAAAAAUCAUAAUAAAUGUAUCUAGCAUGGAAAUACAUGAAUAAACAUUUAACAGUACUCAAAUCAACACCAAUGAGAUUUUCUCAUUGUGUGGCUAGGCCAAACCCACCGAACCGUAGCGUGCUCCUUCGAUUCGCCGAACGGAGUUGUCCACGAGUCUCAAAGUACCCUAAAAGUGAUCAGCGAAGAGAUACGAGGGCAUUACGACCAACCAUAAGAUCAAACUUUAACUUAGAAGCAAAAAGGGCCAAAACUCACCUCAAGGAAAGAAAUCUCUUCCAAAGCUCCAAAAGAGAGCUAGAGCCCUUCCAAUUCAAGCCCGAGGAAGGUUCUAAACCAAUCAAUCUAGCCUCAAAAGCCCUAGAUCAAAAAGCCCCAAAAUCAACCCUAAAUCUCAUUUCUAGGGUUUCAUCUUCCAAAAAUCACCAAAACGAGAAUCUAUAGGAAGAAACAUGUUACUAACCCUUUAGAAGCUUCAAUCCAAGCUCAAAAUGCCCAAGGGUUGAAGUUUGGUCCACCACUAAGCUCCAAGGGCAAGCUCCAAGUCCUCUACAAGCUCUUCUUCUCCUUCCUUCUCCUUCCUCUCCCACUCUUUCUCUCUCUAGAAGUAAAAGAAAUGGUGAAAUGAGGAAGGGGAGAAGGAGAAGUGGCCAUAUAAGCCUUCUCUUGUAACAAAAUCCUGUGAGGCACCUCAAAAAUUCAAUAUUACAUCAGCCCGGUCUGGGCAGUUUUCACCCAGAGGGACCGGUCUCUCCCCAGCAGGGACCGGUCUCUCGCUGCGAACUCGAAAAACCAACGUUCGGGAACCGGCCUCUCCCUGCGCGGGACCGGUCUCUCACUGCGUAGAUGCGCUCGGGGACCGGUCUCGCCCGCCGGGGACCAGUCUCGCCCGCCAGGGACCAGUUGCCUCACGGCUGCCGCAACACUGCUCACUGGGGGACCGGUCUCUCCUUCCAGGGACCGGUCCCCGAGAGUAAAAACUCUCAGGACUUGCCCAGAAUUCCAGUUUUCGAACUUUUUAGGUCGGAAAACAUUCAACAACCCUCCACCAAGUAUGGAAAAGCUCGAAAUAUAUUCAAACACUCGAACCUCGCAAUUUGCAAAGGUCCAGUGUGCUAUAUACUUGGUCAACCAAUUCAUGCCCAACACAACAUCAAACUUCCCGAGUUUAUGCAAAGCUAACAAGUCCACGGGCAUGAUCCAAUCUCCAACCCGAAUAGGGCAACUGGGGCAAAACUCCCGAAUGUCCAAAGAAUGAUCGGGUACAACAACUCGGCCCGGAUGUAACAAGGAUACAAGUGGGAUGCCAUGCAGCUCGGCAAACAGCCGAUCAAUGAAUGAAUGCGAUGCACCGGUAUCAAACAAUGUUCUAACUCGAAUAGUGAGGACCGCACAAGAAGCACACAAGAAGCACCUGCCCCGACUGCGUGAAAACUGCCGCGGGUAGUGAGGACCGCCACAGAUCACGCAGCGAGGGGCCUGGCGUCGAUCGGGUCCUCCUCGCUGGGUAGACUAGCCGCGUCCUCGCGACUGGCUCCUGCUCCUGGGAUGUCUCGGCGGCCUCCGUGAGUGCGUCUGACUCGCACCCUCAGCCGCUGGCCUCUUGCCCUUGCCCUUAUCUAGGGCCUCGCGUCGCUCCUUAAGAUCUGCCGCUCCUGCCUCCACUAUGAAUGCUCGAUCCACAACCUCCCGAUAGGUCUGGAGGUUGGAAGACUGCACCAACCGGAAGAUAGAAGGCCGCAAACCGCGCUCAAAGAUGCGUGUCUUGUCCUCGUCGUCCCGCACCACAAAAGGCACACAAUGAAGUAUCCGGGAGAACUCCCUCUCGUACUCAGUCACUGACCGCUCAUCCUGGCGCAAAUUGCGCAAAUCCUGCUCCAUCUUCCUCUUGAUGCUAGUAGGAAAGUGGUGCACCAGAAGAAGCUCCUUGAACCUCGUCCAAGUAAUCGCUGCCAAGUCGGUGUUGGGGUUGUCCUGGAUAUCCAACCACCAACGGUAGGCCUCGCCGUCCAGAAAGUGAGUGGCGAGCCAAACUCUGUCUCGCUCCUCUACAAAGGUGUCUCGAAACAGCUUCUCCAUAUGCAUCAACCACUUCUCAACAAUCCAGUGGUCGACGUUCUCGCCAUCAAACGUCCUCGGGCUGCACCUCCUGAACUCACUGAGGCGCUCCAUAAGCCGAUCCCGCUCGGC